UACGUAGGGCGCAAGCGUUAUCCGGAAUUAUUGGGCGUAAAGAGCUCGUAGGCGGUUUGUCGCGUCUGCCGUGAAAGUCCGGGGCUCAACUCCGGAUCUGCGGUGGGUACGGGCAGACUAGAGUGAUGUAGGGGAGACUGGAAUUCCUGGUGUAGCGGUGAAAUGCGCAGAUAUCAGGAGGAACAUCGAUGGCGAAGGCGGAUCUCUGGGCCAUUACUGACGCUGAGGAGCGAAAGCGUGGGGAGCGAACAGG
rnacentral:rRNA from 1 species